rnacentral:rRNA from 1 species
GCAGUAGCCACGGUAAUACGUAGGUGGCAAGCGUUGUCCGGAAUUAUUGGGCGUAAAGGGCUCGCAGGCGGUUUCUUAAGUCUGAUGUGAAAGCCCCCGGCUCAACCGGGGAGGGUCAUUGGAAACUGGGAAACUUGAGUGCAGAAGAGGAGAGUGGAAUUCCACGUGUAGCGGUGAAAUGCGUAGAGAUGUGGAGGAACACCAGUGGCGAGGGCGACUCUCUGGUCUGUAACUGACGCUGAGGAGCGAAAGCGUGGGGAGCGAACAGGAUUAGAUACCCCAGUAGUCCCUGUCUCUUAUAA